rfam:Triticum urartu cultivar G1812 contig244913, whole genome shotgun sequence.
CAUGUACUCCCUCCGUUUCAAAUUACUUGUCUCAAAAGUGGAUAAAAAUGAAUGUAUCUACAACUAAAAUAUGUCUAGAUACAUCUAUUUAUGCGACAAGUAAUUCCCGAUGGAGGAAGUAUUAA